AAGGGACAAGAUCUCUGAGAGGGGGAUCUCCUGCAGGAGGGAGGGGUGGACGAGAGGAGAGGAGAGGAGAGGACAAGAGUGUGAAGACUUAAGACUGGUACCUGAUGGCACGGUUGGACUCGUCCAGGUCGGGAUCAUGGAGGUCACAGAGGUCAUUUGGACUUGUCUCCAGCAGCAGACCUCCGUCAGGUGUUAGUGCUUCGUCCAUGUCGUCCAACAGACCUCCUCUGUCCACAUCAUGGUCGUCCAGGCAACCGUCGGCCAUCAUGACAUCAGAAUCUGCCCCUGGACUGAGGAGGUCUAGAAGAAGAGGAUACAGAUGUCAUCGAUGUCACGAGCCGACCUGGUGUUUGUGUUACGAACCGCCUCCACCAGGUCUCCUUCCUGGAUCUGAGAAGCCGAGCGCAGCAGCUGCAGCAUGUUCUCUGAGCCUUGGUCAU